rnacentral:rRNA from 1 species
GGGGAAUUUUGGACAAUGGGCGCAAGCCUGAUCCAGCAAUGCCGCGUGCAGGAAGAAGGCCUUCGGGUUGUAAACUGCUUUUGUACGGAACGAAACGGUCCUGGUUAAUACCUGGGGCUAAUGACGGUACCGUAAGAAUAAGCACCGGCUAACUACGUGCCAGCAGCCGCGGUAAUACGUAGGGUGCGAGCGUUAAUCGGAAUUACUGGGCGUAAAGCGUGCGCAGGCGGUUUUGUAAGACAGGCGUGAAAUCCCCGGGCUCAACCUGGGAACUGCAUCCAUAACUGCCUGACUAGAGUACGGUAGAGGGUGGUGGAAUUUCCUGUGUAGCGGUGAAAUGCGUAGAUAUAGGAAGGAACACCAGUGGCGAAGGCGACCACCUGGACUGAUACUGACACUGAGGUGCGAAAGCGUGGGGAGCAAACA